UCCUACGGGAGGCAGCAGUAGGGAAUAUUGGACAAUGGGCGCAAGCCUGAUCCAGCCAUGCCGCGUGAGUGAAGAAGGCCUUCGGGUUGUAAAGCUCUUUUGUCCGGAAAGAAAAGCUUCGGGUCAAUACCCCGGAGUCCUGACGGUACCGGAAGAAUAAGCACCGGCUAACUUCGUGCCAGCAGCCGCGGUAAUACGAAGGGUGCAAGCGUUACUCGGAAUUACUGGGCGUAAAGCGUGCGUAGGUGGUUUGUUAAGUCUGAUGUGAAAGCCCUGGGCUCAACCUGGGAAUGGCAUUGGAUACUGGCAGGCUAGAGUGCGGUAGAGGGUAGUGGAAUUCCCGGUGUAGCAGUGAAAUGCGUAGAGAUCGGGAGGAACAUCUGUGGCGAAGGCGACUACCUGGACCAGCACUGACACUGAGGCACGAAAGCGUGGGGAGCAAACAGGAUUAGAUACCCGGGUAGUCCACGCCAAAAAAAGAGCGGCCCUGGAGGUGGGGGGGAACCCCCCCCCCA
rnacentral:rRNA from 1 species